UAGCUCUGGUUUCUCUUAAGUCACGCAUGAAUCUUUUGCCUUUUGUUAAAGAUUUCCCUGCAGAGGAAAAUCAAUGAGUUUGAUGUAUGUUUAUGAGCAUUGCUCAGCUAAAGCU